rnacentral:siRNA from 1 species
ACGGAGAAGAGUGAGUCCUAAGGU